AUUUUUGUCGUCUCCGCUGCUAGCAUCUGUGUGACUCUCCGCGAUAGCGUUGAUUCUCCGGCUGUUCUAUUCCCAUUUUGUUUAUUGCUUAUGGCAGCUACCCACAUAUCCUUUUCUCCCGGUUCCUUCAUCCCCUGAUUAAGAUCUCUUUUAGAUUUUGAUUGUUUGGCUAGUUACAGUGACCGGCCGAUCAAGGACCACCUUGAUCUGUCACCUACUUCCUCCAUUUUCACUCUUCACUAUACUCUCUUUUCUAUCUGGGUGAUCUUUUCUGUUCCUUUGG
rnacentral:misc_RNA from 1 species